ACCCGCGCUCGGCUCCCUGCUCGGUCGGGCUGGAACCUGUACUGGCAGCCGGAGGUGUAGGUAGGAACCGGAAUACCUCGGAAGCCGGGAAAUGGACUCAAUGAUCUUUGAGGAUGUGGCUGUGAACUUUACCCAGGAGGAGUGGGCUUUGCUGGAUCCGUCCCAGAAGAAACUCUACAGAGAUGUGAUGUGGGAAAUCAUCAGGAACCUGAUGUCUGUAGGAAUAAAAUGGGAAGACCGGAACAUUGAAGAUCAGUACAAAAAUUCCAGGAGAAAUCCAAGAAAUCAUAUGGCAGAGAGACUCUGUGAAUGUAAAGAUGGUCAAUGUGGAGAAACUUUCAGCCUGAUUCCAGAUGGUAUAAUGAACAAGAACACUCUUCCUGGGGUAAAACCAUGUGAAAGCAGUGUGUGUGGAGAAGGCAACGUGGAUCAUUCAUCUCUGAAUUGCUACAUCAGAGCUGACACUGGACACAAACCGUAUGAGUGUCAGGAACAUGGAGAGAAGCCACAUAAAUGUAAGCAGUGUGUAAAAACCUUCAGCUGCCUCCACUCCUUCCAAACACAUGAAAAGCCUCACACAGGAGAGAAACCCUAUGAUUGUAAGGAAUGGGAAAAAACCUUCGAUUCUCCCCAAACCGUUCGAAGAUACAGGGUAGUGCACAGUGGAGAUGGACCUUAUAAAUGUAAGUUUUGUGGGAAAGCCUUUGAUAAUCUCAGUUUAUAUCUCACACAUGAAAGAUCUCAUACUGGACAGAAGCCAUAUGAAUGUAAUGAAUGUGGGAAAGCCUUUGGUUUUCCCAGCUCCUUUCAUAGACAUGAAAGAAUGCACACCGGGGAGAAACCAUAUGAAUGUAAGCAAUGUGGGAAAACCUUUAGUUGUUCCAGUUCCAUUAAAAAACAUGAAAGAAUCCACACUGGAGAGAAGCCCUAUGAAUGCAAGCAAUGUGGGAAAGCCUUCGCUUCUUCCAAUUCCUUUCAGUAUCAUGAAAGGACUCACACUGGAGAGAAACCCUAUGAAUGUAAGCAAUGUGGGAAAGCCUUUAAUUGUUCCAGUUCCCUUAGAAAACAUGCAAGAAUUCACACUGGAGAGAAACCCUAUAUAUGUAAACAAUGUGGUAAAGCUUUUAGAUUUCCCAGUUCUAUUAAAAAUCAUGAAAAGACUCACACUGGAGAGAAGCCCUAUGAAUGUCAGGAAUGUGGGAAAGCCUUCAGAUAUUCCAGUUCACUUCGAGUACAUAAAAGAAUUCACACUGGAGAGAAGCCGUAUGAAUGUGAGGACUGUGGGAAAGCCUUCAGUCAUCCCACGACCUUUCAUAGACAUAAAAUUACCCACACUGCAGAGAAACCUUAUGAAUGUCAGGAAUGUGGGGAAGCCUUCCGUUAUCCUGUUGCUUUUCGUAGACAUAAAAUUACCCACACUGCAGAGAAACUUUGAGUGUAAGGAAUGUGGGAAAGCCUUCUGUUAUCACAGUUCCCUUCAAAGACAUGAAAGGACUCACAACGGAGAAAAGUUGUGUGGAUAUAAAAAAUGUAAAGCCGGCUGGGUGCGGUGGCUGACGCCUGUAAUCCCAGCACUUUGGGAGGCCAAGGCGGGCGGAUCAUGAGGUCAAGAGAUUGAGACCAUCAUGGCCAACAUGGUAAAACCCCAUCUCUACUAAAAAUACAAAAAUUAGCUGGGCGUGGUGGCAUGUGCCUGUAGUACCAGCUACUUGGGAGGCUGAGGCAGGAGAAUUGCUUGAACCUGGGAGGUGGAGGUUGCAGUGAACCGAGAUUGUGCCACUGUACUCCAGCCAGGUGACAGAGUGAGACUCCGUCUCAAAAAAAAAAAAAAAAAAAGUAAAGCCUUCCACUAUUCCAGUACCUUCUGAAACCAUGAAAGAACUGACACUUGAGAAAAACAAUGAUGUUAGGAACAUGGGAAACCUUUCCUUUCUCUCUCAAUCGUUUGAAGGCAUAUGGUGUGACAUGCUGGCGAUAGACCUCAUAACUGUAAGGAACAUGGAAAACGAUUCUUGUUUUCCAUGCUCCUUGUUUAUUUUAGAUACAUGAAAGAAUUUACUCUGGAGAGAAACUAUGAGUGUAAAAAAUGUGGUAACGCCUUGUGUAGUUUCUGUUUCUCUGAAAUACUGUCAUGUCCUGGUAUUCUCAGGGGAUUAGUUGCAGGCACCCCGCUCCCCACUUCAGAACAUCUAAAUCUGAAGAUGCUCAAGUGCUUUAUAUAAAAUGGUGUAUUUUCCUAGAACCUAAGCACAUCCUCUUGUACACUUUAAAUCAUCUCUAGGUUAUCCAUACUGCCUAAUGCAUUGUAAACGAUAUAAAAAUAGUUGUUUCAUUGUGUUAUUUAGGGAAUGCUGACAAGAAAAAACAUCUGUAGAUGUUUAAUACAGAUAACCAUCACAUGCCCACCUCCAUAGUACAGGCCCACCUCAUAGUAUAUGUCAGCUACAAUGAAACAUUUUCUUUUUUUUUUAAAAAACGUUUUGGAUUGGUUUCAUUUAAUGGCCUCAAAAACACGUGUUAACAUUCUCCAAAUCCUUGGUUCUUCUCUCCUGAUAACCCUCAUGUGAUGAUUGCUCUGUGGUUCCUAAAGCUGCAGUGUGUUGAGGUGCUUAGAUAUGUGGCAGUGUAGAUAAGUCAGGGGACAUCAGUUUAACUUGAAUUUUCUUUUUUUUUUUUUUUGAGAUGGAGUCUUGCUCUGUCACCCAGGCUGGAGUGCAAUGGUGUGAUCUCGGCUCACUGCAACCUCCACCUCCUGGGCUCAAGUGAUUCUCCUGCCUCAGCCUCCCAACCAGCUGGGAUUACAGGUGCCCGCCACCACACCCGGCUAAUUUUUGUAUUUUUAGAAGAGAUGGGGUUUCACCAUGUUGGCCAGGCUGGUCUUGAACUCCUGACGUCGUGAUCUGCCCACCUUGACCUCCCAAAGUGCUGGGACUACAGGAAUGAGCCACCCUGCCCGGCCAGAAUUUUCUUUCAGGACAUCAGGAGGAUCCUCUGCUGGAAGAACCAACAUCUGAUUGCAGAUGUUGCCUCUUUGGUGGAAGGUUGAAGAAUUUGUGACCGUGGAUAAGUUCGUUUCCUGUUAUGUGAACUUGGCAGAUUAAUGCUAAAUCCUGUGGGACAGCAUUUAGCAACACCUAAAAAACAUGAUAAAGAAAUACCUGAGACUGGGUAAUUUAUAAAGAAAAGAGGUUGAAUUGGCCCAUGAUUCUGCAGACUGCACAGGAAGCAUGGUACUGGAAGGAUGGCAUCUGCUCAGCUUCUAGGGAGGCCUCAGGAAACUGACAAUCAUGGUGGAAGGCAAAGGGGGAGCAGCAGUUCACACGGCCAGAGAAGGAGCAAGAGAGAGCAGGGCAAGGUGCCACAGACUUUUAAAUGACCGGUUCUCACAAGAACUUACCAUCUCAAGAACAGCACCACAGGGAUAGUGCUAAACCAUUCAUGAAGGACCACCAUCCAGUCACCUCCCACAAGGCCCCACCUUCAAUAUUGGGAAUUACAAUUCGACAUGAGAUUUGGGUGGAGAUUCAAAUCCAAACCAUGUCCUUUUGCUUUUUUCUGUUUUGUUUGUGGAGUAGAUUUUUCUCCAUCCCUUUACUUUGAGCCUAAGGGUGCCAUUGCAUGUGAGAUGGGUCUCUUGAAGACAGCAUACCAUUGGAUCUUGCUUUUUUAUCCAAGUCACCACUGUGCCUUUUAAUUGGGGCAUUUAGCCUGCUUACAUUCAAGGACUCAGUGACCUUUGAGGAUGUGGCUGUGAACUUCACCCAGGAGGAGUGGGCUUUGCUGGGUCCUUCCCAGAAGAAUCUCUACAGAGAUGUGAUGUGGGAAACCUUCAGGAACCUGAUGUCUGUAGAAGUCAUAUGGUAGAGAGAGUCUGAAGGUAAGGAAGAUGGUCAAUGUGAAGAGAUCUUCAGCCUUGUUCCAAAUGGUAUAGUGAAGACGACUUUUACUGGAGUCAAAUCAUGUGAAAGCAGUGUGUGUGAAGAAGGCAAUAUGGAUCAUUCAUCUCUUAAUUGCUGCAUCAGAGCUGACACUGGACACAAAUCAGAUGAGUGUCAGCAACAUAGAAGCCACAUAAGCAGUGUGUGAAAACCUUCAGCUAUUGCCACUCCUUUCAAACACAUGAAAGGCCUCACACUGGAAAGAAACUCCAUGUAAGAAAUGUGGAAAAACCUUCAUUUCUGUUCAAACCUUUUGAAGAUACAUGGUAAUGCACAGUGAAGAUGAACCUUAUAAAUGUAAGUUUUGUGGGAAGGCCUUUGAUAAUCUACAUUUAUAUCUUACACAUGAAAGAACUCACACUGGAGAGAAACCCUAUGAAUGUAAUAAAUGUGGGAAAGCCUUCAGUUGUUCCAGUUCCAUUCGAAAACAUGCAAGAAUUCACACUGGAGAGAAACCCUAUAUAUGUAAACAAUGUGGCAAAGCCUUUAGAUAUUCCAGUUCUAUUCGAAAUCAUGAAAACACUCACACUGGUGAAAAACCCUGUGAAUGUAAGCAAUGUGGGAAAGCCUUUAGUUAUUCCAGUUACUUUCGAAUACAUGAAAGAAUUCACACUGGAGAGCAGGUGUAUAAAUGUAAGGAAUGUGGGAAAACAUUCACUUAUCCCAGUGCCUUUCAUAAACAUAAAAGUACCCACACUUCACAGAAACUUUAUGAAUGUAAGGAAUGUGGGAAAGCAUUUGAUUGUUUUAGUUCCUUUCAUAGUCAUGAAGGGGUUCACACUGGAGAGAAACCCUAUGAAUGCAGAACGUGGAAAAGCCUUCAGUAGUUCUAAGUACUUAAAAAUACAUGGAAGAACUCACACUGGAGAGAAGUCCUAUGCAGUAAAGAAUGAGGGAAAGUAUUUUAUUGUCUCAGUCCCCUUCAAAGACAUGAAAGGACUCACAUCAGAGAAAAGUUGUAUGAAUGUAAAAAAUGUGAUAAAGCCUUCCAUUCGUCCAGUACUGUUAGAAACCAUGAAAGAAGUCACAUUUAAGAAAAACACAGUGAUGUUAGGAAUAUGGGGAACCUUUCCUUUCUCUUCCAGUCUUUGGAAGGCACAGGGUAUGACACACUGGUGACCUUAUAACUGUAAGGAGUGUGGAUAAGUAUUUAUUAGUCCUUGUGUGUUUUAGAUACAUGAAAGAAUUUACUCAAAAGGAAACUCUAUGAAUGUAAAGAAUGUGGUAAAACCUGUGUAGUUUCAGUUUCUCUUGAAUAAAGUCAUUUCCUGGUAUUCUCAGGGGAUUGGUUCCAGCACCCCUUGAGAAUAUAUAAUUUUGCUCAAGUGCUUUACAGAAAAGUGUAUUUGCCUAUAACUAGGCAAUCCUGUAUACUUUAAAUCAUCUCUAGAUUACUUAUAAUACCUAAUGCAUUGUAAAUGCUAUGAAGACAACUGUUUUAUUGUAUUUAGGGAAGUAUGACAAGAAAAAACAUCUGUACAUAUUCAGUACAGACACAACCACCAUACGGCUACCUACCUAGUACACAUCAUCUACAAUAUAACAUUUUCUUUUUAAAAAACAGUUA
rnacentral:lncRNA from 1 species